rnacentral:rRNA from 1 species
AUUGAACGCUGGCGGCAGGCCUAACACAUGCAAGUCGAGCGGGAACUUCGGUUCUAGCGGCGGACGGGUGAGUAAUGCGUAGGAAGCUACCCGACAGAGGGGGAUACCAGUUGGAAACGACUGUUAAUACCGCAUAAUGUCUACGGACCAAAGUGUGGGACAUUCGGGCCACAUGCUGUCGGAUGCGCCUACGUGGGAUUAGCUAGUUGGGGAGGUAAUGGCUCAACAAGGCGACCGUCCCUAGCUGGUUUGAGAGCAUGAUCAGCCACACUGGAACUGAGACACGGUCCAGACUCCUACGGGAGGCAGCAUUGGGGAAUAUUGGACAAUGGGCGAAAGCCUGAUCCAGCCAUGCCGCGUGUGUGAAGAAGGCCUUCGGGUUGUAAAGCACUUUCAGUAGGGAGGAAGAGUUGAGUGUUAAUAGUACUCAGCUUUGACGUUACCUACAGAAGAAGCACCGGCUAACUCUGUGCCAGCCGCCGCAGUAAUAC